rnacentral:rRNA from 1 species
UACGGGAGGCAGCAGUGAGGAAUAUUGGACAAUGGAGGCAACUCUGAUCCAGCCAUGCCGCGUGCAGGAAGACUGCCCUAUGGGUUGUAAACUGCUUUUAUACAGGAGGAAACCUACUUACGUGUAAGUAGCUGACGGUACUGUAAGAAUAAGGAUCGGCUAACUCCGUGCCAGCAGCCGCGGUAAU